rnacentral:rRNA from 1 species
AGAGUUUGAUCCUGGCUCAGGACGAACGCUGGCGGCGUGCUUAACACAUGCAAGUCGAACGAGGUUGCAGGAGAGCUUGCUCGAAUGGAACCGAGUGGCGGACGGGUGAGUAACGCGUGAAUAAUCUGUCUCACACAGGGGGAUAACGCAUCGAAAGAUGUGCUAAUACCGCGUAGGACCACGAUGGGGCAUCCCAUUGAGGUGAAAGGAGCAAUCCAGUGUGAGGUGAGUUCGCGUCUGAUUAGAUAGUUGGUGAGGUAACGGCCCACCAAGUCAACGAUCAGUAGCCGACCUGAGAGGGUGAUCGGCCACAUUGGGACUGAGACACGGCCCAGACUCCUACGGGAGGCAGCAGUGGGGAAUAUUGGGCAAUGGGCGAAAGCCUGACCCAGCAACGCCGCGUGAAGGAAGAAGGUUUUCGGAUUGUAAACUUCUGUCCUAUGUGAAGAGGUAGAGACGGUAGCAUAGGAGGAAGCCCCGGCUAACUACGUGCCAGCAGCCGCGGU